CCGCCUCAAUAUCCUCUUUCUUCUUCUCUGCUUGACUUUCUUCUCUGUGUGCCCGCCGCCGCCGCAGCCAUCUCUGGCCGCCGUGGCUACCUCCGUCGUGGGGAUGCAGACCAGCUUUUCCACGCCCCAACGCCGCCCCUCCCAACAUCACCGACCUCCCCACACAUCUCGAACUCGGACUCGGAGAGGAGUCCAUGUUGCGUGUGUCUUGGAGUCAUGUCCGAGGAGGAGAUGUUCAGGAGCACGUGGCCGUUUGGUGCAUGGAAAUUGAUGCUAUAAGAAGGAACCCCUCGGCCACGAUUAGCUCGCAUCGCAUGUUUCUUGCCCAACACAUCGCCGUGCUGCAAGUUUCAUACAUCGCCGUUCUUGUACACCGUUGAUUUCUCGGGGAUCCGUCUGCAUCGCCGUUCUUGUACACCAUUGAUUUCGACGGAGAUCCGUCUGCAUUGCACGUGCUCCAUCGCCUGCCAGAAUUUCGCCUGGCCUGAGGGAAACAAUGGCUCGACGUCGCCGGGUCGCAGCACAAAAUUGACUGGUCCCAGCAAAAAAAAAAGAACAAUUACAGCAAAAGAAAAUCGCCAUCGCGGUCACAGAAAGUGGAUGACAACACUGAAUUGACCAUUGUUGAGGAUUUUGAUAACCGACCUUCAAAAAAAAAAAACGAAAUGUAUGGAAUCCAGUGUUUUGGAGCAAUCACCUACGUCACCAAUCAUCUCAACAUUACCUUCACUCUCAAAAAGUUUUGUAUCGAUGGUUCUUGAGUCAGAUAAUCAAACAAAUAGUGAUCCAUUGCCAGCACCUCCAUCACCAACUAGCUUACCAUUAUCUCUGAAUGCUGAAUUGCCCCUGAAUGAAGGAAAUAUUUCACUAGAUGAUGAUAAGCAAGCAGAGAAUGCUGAAUUGCCCUUGAAUGAAGCAAAUAUUUCAUUACAUGAUGAUAAUCAAACAGAGAAUUCUGAAUUGCCCCCGAAUCAAGGAAAUAUUUCAUUAGAUGAUGACAAGAAAAUAGAGGAACAUGAAACAUAUGACUAUCUCCCACAAGAUUAUACAUUGACAGACCGUGAUGUAUGUGCUCAUAUAGCAAUAGAAACAUCUUUUGAAAAACAAUUGCUGGUGAAGAUAGAUGAAAUAUCUGUGAAAUAACAUCAACUGAAUGAAAAAGAGUGGCUAAAUGAUGAUGUACAAGGGCUACAAUAUCAUUUGGACAUUCUGAAAAGUGAAAAUUUAAUUAGUCCUAAUUGGAAAGACUUUGAUGUUAGUAAAUGGAAGAUAGUAGAACAACUACAGCAGCCAAUUCAAAAAGAUAGUUCAUCUUGUGGUCUAUUUAUGCUUAAAUUCAUGGAAUAUUGGACUGGAUAUGCACUAUCCUAUCCAAUUACACAGGAAAGUAUGGGUACAGAGCUCCAACCCAUAUACAAUUAGGCUGACUCUUAAAAAACUACAAACAAUUCUAAAGGAUGAUUCUCCCACGGAUCCUGAUUGUUUCAAUAUGGUCGUGUGCAAAUUUAUGUUUGAUGACAUCCAAACGGCCAAAAAGAAAAAGGGAUUGAUAUCAAAACAUUAUCUAGACAUGCAAUUUUGGAUGAUUACUGAUUUUGGACGACAUCCAAACUUCUGAAAAGAGUUAGAUGUGGAACAACUAGCAUAUUCUGUUUGUAGUUGGCCCGGUUUCAACUAUAAUAUUUCAACAUGCAAAUCUGUAAGAGCAUUUCUCAGUUACUUUCAACACGACAUUUUUUACAUCUAAUAUCUAGGAUAUUACAGAUUCAUAUUCCAGUACAUUCCAAUGGUGAUUUCAUUCUCUUCAUAUUGGACAAAGAUACACAUACUGUCCAUAUUUUGGAUCCUACGCCUAUCGAUCCUAUCUACCAAUACAACCCACACGCAAAAUAUUUGCACAGACUUAUGGAUUGCAGAAUAUUUACCGAAAGCAAUGUCAAAGGCAUGCCCUGGGUCUAGAUGGAAUGAGAAUAUUCUCCUAUGGCGGCAUAAAAUCGUAGAUGAUAUUCCUGUUUACAACGGGGAACUGUCUGGUUAUCUUAUUACCCUCUACAUGUCUACAUGGGAAGAUGGAAAACUGCAUUUACCAUUUCUAAAGGAUGGAUACGAACUCAGGGAACAAAUUUUGGGACAUCUUCUAACAUUCGAGGACAAUGAAUCUGAAGAUGGCAUGCCUGCCGGUGUCCUGGACUUCAUCAAUUGUAUCAGGAUGAAGAAGCUAUCAACUAUAUGUCCAACUGCUGCUCCUAAAUUAUCUCGACAAUCCUAGAUGCUGUAACGCACCAGCUUGAUCCUAAAGUUUAGUAUGUUCAGCUUAGGGAACUACAUAGGUUUAGCCAAUAGUACCAGCUCAAUCAUAAAGUUUAGUUUGUUCAGCUUAGGGAACUACAUAGGUUUAGACAAUAGUAAUGCUUUGCUUUCUGUACAAGAUCUUAGUUAAAAGAAUAUAUUGCUUCUGAUGCUUACAUGGCAUAACCAAAAAUCAGUUUAACAUUGGCAAUUACUUUUCAGAGAGAUACUGUGGCAUACAACUUUCUUCGAUACAUGGCAUUGUUGCAAUGCCAAGAUUUGAUGAGAACUUUUCUUCUUGGA